UUCGUUUUGCUGAAAUUUUUAUAGAUUAACUAAAAGCCUUCAGCAUCUAUGCUGAUGUUUUUGUGCAAUAUAUAAUUUUAAUUUAUGUUUAAUUUUUUUUUACCCAGUGAAGAAAAAAAACUUCAGUUCAUUUUGUUGAAGUUUUAAAGAUUAACCAAAAAACUGCAACACCUAUGCUGAAGUUUUGUUGAAGUUUUGCUAAAGGUGUAAAUCGUUUU
rnacentral:lncRNA from 1 species